AAAAGGAUCACAUUAUUAUUACUGAUUGGAUUGAAAUAUUAUCCAAACUAAACCUUACCCAUUAUAAUGAACCUUCCUGAAGGGUUUUUCCUUAAAGCGUUAGCUCAUGCUCAUGCAGGGUAACAUCACUGCUACUGAGUUGGUGCAACUGAUAAAGUGCCUGUGCAGGUUAUGGUAUACUGUUACUGUUCUUAUGGGGUACCCAAUGUAUGCUCCUUUUCAUCAAAGAGGAAGAAUUACUCUAACAACUAGAUCAGUAGCGUUGCUGAGGAAAUGACUGUUGCUAUGACAACUGUACAUAUACAUGUACAUCAAUGAA
rnacentral:lncRNA from 1 species